AUUGAACGCUGGCGGCAGGCCUAACACAUGCAAGUCGAGCGGAUGAAGGGAGCUUGCUCCUGGAUUCAGCGGCGGACGGGUGAGUAAUGCCUAGGAAUCUGCCUGGUAGUGGGGGAUAACGUCCGGAAACGGGCGCUAAUACCGCAUACGUCCUGAGGGAGAAAGUGGGGGAUCUUCGGACCGCACGCUAUCAGAUGAGCCUAGGUCGGAUUAGCUAGUUGGUGGGGUAAAGGCCUACCAAGGCGACGAUCCGUAACUGGUCUGAGAGGAUGAUCAGUCACACUGGAACUGAGACACGGACCAGACCCCUACGGGAGGCAGCAGUGGGGAAUAUUGGACAAUGGGCGAAAGCAUGAUCCAGUCAUGCCGCGUGUGUGAAGAAGGUCUUCGGAUUGUAAAGAACUUUAAGUUGGGAGGAAGGGCAGUAAGUUAAUACCUUGCUGUUUUGACGUUACCAACAGAAUAAGCACCGGCUAACUUCGUG
rnacentral:rRNA from 1 species